CGGGGUGUAGCGCAGCCCGGUAGCGCACCUGCUUUGGGAGCAGGGGGUCGCUGGUUCAAAUCCAGUCACCCCGA
rnacentral:tRNA from 1 species